rnacentral:rRNA from 1 species
AACGAACGCUGGCGGCAGGCUUAACACAUGCAAGUCGAGCGCCCCGCAAGGGGAGCGGCAGACGGGUGAGUAACGCGUGGGAAUCUACCCAUCUCUACGGAAUAACGCAUGGAAACGUGUGCGCAUACCGUAUACGGUCUUAGGGAGAAAGGUUUAUCGGAGAUGGAGGAGCCCGCGUUGGAUUAGCUAUGUGGUGGGGUAAAUGCCUACCAAGGAACCGAACCAUAGCUGGUCUGAGAGGAUGAUCAGCCACACUGGGACCGAGACACGGCCCAGACUCCUACGGGAGGCAGCAGUGCGGAAUAUUGGACAAUGGGCGCAAGCCUGAUCCAGCCAUGCCGCGUGAGUGAUGAAGGCCCUAGGGUUGUAAAGCUCUUUCACCGGUGAAGAUAAUGACGGUAACCGGAGAAGAAGCCCCGGCUAACUUCGUGCCAGCCGCCGCAGUAACAC